rnacentral:rRNA from 1 species
UACAGAGGUCUCAAGCGUUGUUCGGAUUCAUUGGGCGUAAAGGGUGCGUAGGCGGCGCCGUAAGUCAGGUGUGAAAUUUCGGAGCUUAACUCCGAAACUGCAUUUGAUACUACGGUGCUUGAGGACUGGAGAGGAGACUGGAAUUUACGGUGUAGCAGUGAAAUGCGUAGAGAUCGUAAGGAAGACCAGUGGCGAAGGCGGGUCUCUGGACAGUUCCUGACGCUGAGGCACGAAGGCCAGGGGAGCAAACAGG